UCCCGCAACGAGCGCAACCCUUAUCCUUGUUUGCCAGCACAUAAUGGUGGGAACUCCAGGGAGACUGCCGGUGAUAAACCGGAGGAAGGUGGGGACGACGUCAAGUCAUCAUGGCCCUUACGAGUAGGGCUACACACGUGCUACAAUGGCAGAUACAGAGGGCAGCGAAGCUGCGAAGUGGAGCGAAUCCCUUAAAGUUUGUCGUAGUCCGGAUUGGAGUCUGCAACUCGACUCCAUGAAGUCGGAAUCGCUAGUAAUCGUGGAUCAGAAUGCCACGGUGAAUACGUUCCCGGGCCUUGUACACACCGCCCGUCACACCAUGGGAGUGGGCUGCACCAGAAGUAGAUAGCUUAACCUUCGGGAGGGCGUUUACCACGGUGUGGUUCAUGACUGGGGUGAAGUCGUAACAAGGUAGCCCUAGGGGAACCUGGGGCUGGAUCACCUCCUUA
rnacentral:ncRNA from 1 species